AUUUUGGCAACAAUGCAAUACCCUAUCUAGGCAACCAAACUACUUUGAUUAAAGUGGUGAAAGAAUCAAGUAGCCUUUGGAAUUUACAUUACAGCGUAGUCAGUCAAAAUGUA